rnacentral:rRNA from 1 species
UUAAAUUGAAGAGUUUGAUCAUGGCUCAGAUUGAACGCUGGCGGCAGGCCUAACACAUGCAAGUCGAACGGUAACAGAAAGCAGCUUGCUGCUUUGCUGACG